ACUCCUACGGGAGGCAGCAGUGGGGAAUAUUGGACAAUGGGGAAACCCGUGAUCCAGCCAUGCCGCGUGUGUGAAGAAGGCCUUCGGGUUGUAAAGCACUUUCAGUGGGGAGGAAAGGUUGAUGGUUAAUACCUAUCAGCUGUGACGUUACCCACAGAAGAAGCACCGGCUAACUCCGUGCCAGCAGCCGCGGUAAUACGGAGGGUGCAAGCGUUAAUCGGAAUUACUGGGCGUAAAGCGUGCGCAGGCGGUCUGUUAAGCGAGAUGUGAAAGCCCC
rnacentral:rRNA from 1 species